GCCUGGGUGGCUCAGUCGGUUGAGUGCCCGACUUCGGCUCUGGUCAUGAUCUUGCGUUCGUGAGUUCGAGCCCCGCCUCGGGCU
rnacentral:tRNA from 1 species